UGCAAAAAGAGUUAAAACAAAAGACACGACACGCCUCCCAUCAAGAGCAGCGUUUGUUCUCUUGCAUACAGCAACGCUACCUUUCAUAGCCCACAAAAAAGUUGUUGAGCACUCUGCUACUCCACCCUGCUCACCUGGUUAGACUUGUCAUGAAAACACCUACUAAUGCCGACGCCACUGCCAUUGCCAUUGCCAUUGCCGAUGGCCCUGCUUUAAGGGGAAGUAGAGAGCAAGGGCGUAUUUGAUUUCAUUGGCACAGAUCGGGUGGAAGCAGAAGCAGAAGCAGAAACAGAAGCAGAAGCAGACACCGAGAUGAAGGCAGAAACGAGGCUUCACUCCGCCGUUUUCCAGCUCACUCCCACUCGUACCAGAUGCGAGCUUGUUAUUUCAGCUGAAGGUGAAACAGAGAAGCUGGCAUCUGGGUUGCUCAAACCAUUUCUCACACACCUAAAGACAGCUGAAGAACAAAUUGCUAAGGGUGGCUAUUCAAUCAGACUGGAACCACCAAUUGCAUCUAAUCAACAUGCCACUUGGUUUACAAAAGGCACCAUUGAGAGGUUUGUUCGGUUUGUGAGUACUCCAGAGGUUCUUGAGAGGGUUGAUACAAUAGAGACAGAAAUAAUACAAAUUGAAGAAGCCAUUGCUAUUCAGUGCAGUGACGCUUUUGUGACAGAAGAGCAGACUCCUAAAUCUAUCUCUUCUCAACAGAAAGAAGCAAGCAGGCCUAUUCUUGAUGAAGACUCAGAAAGUGCUAUUGUUCCUUAUAAGUCAAGAAGACAUUCAGUUGAUGGGAUUGAACCAGCACAUGGAGGAAAUUCAAAAGCAUGCUUGCUUAGGGUCUUGGAGACACGGAAAAUUGUGUUGCAGAAAGAACAAGGAAUGGCCUUUGCUCGAGCUACAGCUGCUGGGUUUGACAUGGAGCAUAUGCAAGAUUUAUGUUCCUUUGCAGAUUGCUUUGGGGCUUUUCGCCUUCGAGAAGCCUGCAUAAAAUUUACGAACUUAUGGAAGAAAAAGCAAGAAACUGGGCUUUGGUUGGAAGAAAUGGACUUAGAAACCAUGGAGACCUCUUCAACUCGAUCAGAGAUGGCUCUUAUGAAUGCUUCUGGGAUCACAUUGACUAGUGAAUCUGUUAUUGUUCAGCGUCUAAAACCAAAGGACUUUCCUGAUGGAUGGUCUGAUGUUACAAGUGAAGUUGGCAAUUCAAAAAUUUCUUCUCAUGAUGAUAUGACCAUCCAUGGAAAGUCAAAUGUGGCUGAAGGUUCAACAGAUGCCAAUGGGGAGAACACUGGCUUGAAUUAUAACAGAGAGAACAAGUUAUCUCUGGAAGGUCAGGUAUCACCAGCACUGGCUGGAAAUAAUGAUUUUGCUCAAGGCCAUUUCCAACAGCCUAUGAUGCCGGUAUGGACAGGCCAAGCUCCACAACACAUGCAGAAUUUUCUAUCUUAUGGUGUUGGACCUCAACCUACCAUGCAAGGGCUUCCUGGGUUUCAUAUGCAAGGUGCACCUUAUUAUCAUGGUAAUCCUUCAAAUCCUCCCUUUUAUCAGGGUGUGUAUCCUCAAGCAGAUAAUUAUCAAGGUUUAGGUGUGCCUCCCCAACAUUUACAACCCCGCUGGCCUCUAUAUGCUGAAGAUCCAAGGUUUGCUACAGCUCAAAUGACAGAAUCAUCUGCCAUGACUGGAAUGUCUUUGGAUAUGAAACAUCAUUCAAUUAAUGAGAGGGACACAACUAUAAAAUCAGAGACUUCAGAUACAGGAAGUCCAAAAUCUCUUUCAAAGUCACUGAACCUUUUAGGCCAGGAUACUGAUUCUGAACCAGAGAGAGAAUAUAUGCCCAGUCAAGAAUUAAAUAGACAUCUGCAUCGAAGGUCCAAAUCCCCACACAGAAGAUCCUCUUCUCCACAUAGGAAGAUACAGAUUGGGCGGGCUGGAAACAAGCGAUCUGGCAUGGUGGUUAUUCGCAAUAUCAAUUAUAUUACAUCAAAAAGAUCUGAUAAAACAGGCAGAGAUGACAUUUCAGAAAAUUCCAACUCAGAGAUGGAUAGUAAUGGUGAAGAUGAUCUUAAACAACAAGCUGAAGAUGUUCAGUUAUGUGUCCAUGAUAUGAUUGGCCUUUUUGAGAAGCGCCAGGAAUCUGCAGAAUCUUUGACAAAAAAGCAAGGCUCUAAGUACUCUGCAGAUAGUCAGAAUUCCAGGAAUAAUAAAGGUAAUGGUACAAGAAAUGACCCCGCUACAGAAGCCGACCAAAAAGAUGAUGAGAAUGAGAGUUGGAGUAUCUUCCAGAAAUAUCUUUUGCAAGAUGAUGAAUCAACUCAGAACAAUAUUGACAAUGUUGAUAAUGUAGACCAAGGUGGUAAGCAAAAGACUGAAAAUGUGGACGACAUGAUUGUGGCUCACAGAGAUGUUCUAGGAUCAAAAGGCUGGGAAGCAAACAAUGUAAUUCGUCUUGAGCAAGAGUUGGUUCCCAAGAAGAAAGAACAGGAUCUAGCUAAAGAUUCAUUUAUUUUACCUGAACGGGUUCGCGAAGAUGCAUUAUUGGAUGGUCGGGGAAUCGGUGAGAGUGAGAAAUCUUCAAUUCCCAAAAAGUCAAUAACUUAUGAUGAUCUGUUCGUUUCUAGAGAAGUGGGGCAGACAACUUCAGAUGGUGCCAGCUCAGAUCCAUUUGCUAGUGGAGAAUUUAAGUAUACAACCAAUCAGCAGAGUGAUUAUCUACGUACAGACAAGAGUUAUGGGCAAGGUAUAGGGGAUGAUUCUUUCAUGGUCUCUACUAGAUCUAUUCCACAGUAUCAAACUGGUAAUGAGUGGAGGACAAUCAUGAAUAUUGACUCUGAACUCUCUGCAGAAAAAGAGGAAAAUUCUUCUCAUGGUAUGCCACAUCAGCAACAUGAAACUACAAAUGAUUAUGAAUGUGAUGAGCUAUACAUUAUGCCAGAGCGCAUAUCUGAAAGGGAGUCCUUAGGUGUACUGUGGGAUCCGGCUAUGGACUAUAAGAUGCAGGCUAAUAUGGCUGAUAAGGUAGAUCCUCAUUCUGGCCAUACUGGCAUAUUCGAUGAGAUCAAAUCUCCAGAAGACAAGGCAAAUUCUAAAAUGAAGGAAAAUCCAAAAUCAAAGAAGUCAGAAAAGGAUCUGCAAUUAAAAGUCAUGCAAGAGGUAUUGGAGAAAAGAAAAGCAGAAAUGGCUGCUAGGAUCCCAAGACUAGGAAAACCAAAUCCACUAGCUGAAGCACAAAUGCGUGCAGAGAAGUUACGGGUGUUCAAAGCGAACUUACAGAAAACCAAGAAGGAGAUGGAAGAGAGAGAAAGAAACCGGCUUGAACAAUUAAAGAUACAAAGACAAAAGAGGAUUGCAGCUAGACGAAGUUCCAGUCCAACUUCAUCUUCAUCAACUUCACAAACCAUGAAGCCGCAACUUAAGACUGGUCAUGCUAGUACAUUAUUGUCUCCCAGUUCACAAAAAGGACGAACAUCUAGAAACCUGAGUCCUGGGGGUUCUUUCCCUAGUCCAUCUGGUUCUAGGUAUAUUACGAGGUCCUCAAGUGAAAUAACAAAUGAUGUGAUGACCCGCAAGAAAAACCUACAAAGCCGCACAAAACCUACUGGAACUAGUCUUAGUAGAUCUGUGCCAUCCUUGUCUGAGCUGAAGAAGGAACAGGAAGGGACGUAUCCAGUUAGUAGAAGAUUAUCUGCUACUAAGAAGAGCACCGAUCAAAUUAUUUCCUCUAAGAAUGGAAAAGAAGGUAGCAUAAAACCUAAUGGUACAACAACACACGCAACUGCACGUGCUUUAGACAAUCUGGAUCAUAAGAAACGUCAUUUAACUGCAACAAGGAAAAGCAUUGUUACAGGAAGUGAAUCAAAGAACAAGGAUACAAGCUUGCAGAAGUCUUCAAAGCACACCAGUGUGCUGGCGUCUCAGAAAGGAAAAGGAAGUAUCUUGGCUGCUGAUGUUGGAAAUAAGAAGUCAGAGGGGAAUUUGGAAACUAAUAUUUCAAGUGCAGAUGAUAAUGAUGCUGUAUUACAAGAUGAAGAAAAAUGUCCAGAAUCUGUUGAGCCAGGUCAUCUCAUGGUUAGAGCAGAAGUUUCAGUUGAACUUAAAGACCAAGAAAAUGGUUCUAUUUCAGACAAAUCAGAAAUGAAAGCCGGGCUUGGUUCUGGGUGCGUUCCUAUCAGUGUUCCAGCUUCAACUAAUGCUGGGGGUAUUUCUAGUCAGGGCCAAUUCGAGUCACUUUUAGAGUCUUGCCAUGCCAUGCAGCCUGAAGCAGUUUUCAUUAGAACCCCAGUAUCUUUGGUUGAAGAAAAUGAGAUUGAAAAGGUUUGUCAAAGAGAAUCAGUUCCUUUUAGUUCAUAUGAUAUGCACAACACUCCUCAUUCUGUAGAUUCUGAUGUAAGAGAGGAUGAAAAAAAUGUUGUACAAGCUUCAUCAUCAAUAAUUCAAAGAAGUAAUACAAAUGAAUCAUAUCAAGCACCAUUAGCACGUAUGACAUCCUUUGAGGAUACAUCUUAUAAUAAAUUUAGUGCAUAUGAUGCUCCUCUAGCCCCUGAAACAUCAUCUGGACCUCCUGGAAUCUUCAUUCCCAGGGAUCCUGUAUCUGAAAACAAUAGUCCUCUUGCUUUAAGUUCAGAUUUUCCAAAUUUAAGUUCACUAUCACAGAAUGUGCCUAAUAUUCCACAGUUCACCUCACCAACAGCUAACUGUGGAAGUGUGGAUGCUUCUCAUUCCCGUCAAAAGGGGAGCAGCGGAGAAAAGCCCAAGGAUAGUUCUAAAGGAUUCAAAAGACUCCUGAAGUUUGGUAGGAAGGGGCAUAAUAGCUCAACACCUGCCAUUAAUGCAGAUGCAAAUCAGCUGAGAGAGAUGGGAAGUAGAACGUCUGAAGAUCAAGGGGGCAGACUUGAGGCAACUAUAGAUUCUGGUACCACAAUGAGCCAACUAUCAGGGGGGGCAAUAUCAGAUAAUGGCAUUUCUAGCCAAGCACAUUCUCUUGGAAACCUUAUUUCUCACGAUGAUAAUAGUUCUGCGACCCAUACACACAAAGCAUCACGCUCCUUCUUUUCACUUUCAAAUUUCCGGAGCAAGGGAAGUGAAACAAAAUCUAGAUGAGGUUUGUGGUACAAAAUGGAGGGUCCAAUAUUUGCAAUUGCUGGUAGUUGUUUCAACUGGAUGGUACAAAUAAUUUUUCUUUAAGAAGAGAAAUGAAGAAAUAUUCAAAGGCAAUAAGAGGUACCUUAUUGAGGUCAAUAGUGAACUCACUUUUCUUCAUAUUAUGGUGUAUGACUUGAUGGUGCCAAAGAUCCCAAAAGAUAGGUUUAUGAGUCUCCUCAAGCAAGGUCUUUCGAUUGUGUACAGGUCUACCCAAUUCCCUCUUAAUGGAAGAAAUAAACUCAGUGAUGAAGAAAUUGCUAUUUUUAGAGAGUACAUUGAUAAGAAUGAUGCUCAAAAUCUUGUUGAGAAGGAUACUAAUAGUCAAAAGAUAAGAUAGAUGGUUUACUUUUAUCCGGUUGAGAACAAUCUAGAUCCCGAAGUUGAAUUGGACCCUCUAAUAUGAUCUUGCGAUGAUGAAUUUUUAGACUAAUCAUUUAAUGCAAAGGUCCUAUGUGUUUAAGUUAUAUUUACUCAAUUCAAUAGUUAGUGGAUUCAUUGAGCAAUCCCGUUUGUUUAUACAUGCAUUUAUUCUACACUGGGCAACAAAGGUUCAGGACAAAUUGUAUUAAUGGUAGCUCUAUUUUUAGUGUGACCAUGAAGUUGUUGUAAUCUAUCUAUCAUUUCUAGGGGUUUGAUUUACAGUUGUUUUUUGAGGUCAGCAAGUUGAACUCAUGGGAGCAUUCCUCCAUAUAAUGUAAUUGUUUUGUACUCUACAUUUAAUAUAAAACAAAAAUAUUGGUGAUAAA